UACAGAGGAUGCAAGCGUUAUCCGGAAUGAUUGGGCGUAAGCGUCUGUAGGUGGCUUUUAAGUCCGCCGUCAAAUCCCAGGGCUCAACUCUGGACAGGCGGUGGAACUACCAAGCUUGAGUACGGUAGGGCAGAGGGAAUUUCCGGUGGAGCGGUGAAAUGCGUAGAGAUCGGAAAGAACACCAACGGCGAAAGCACUCUCGCUGGGCCGACACUGACACUGAGAGACGAAGCUAGGGAGCGAAUGGG
rnacentral:rRNA from 1 species